ensembl:misc_RNA Y_RNA Y RNA
GGCUGGUCUGAUGGGAGUGGGUUAUCAGAACUUACUAACAUUAGUGUCACUAAAGUUGGUAUUACCCCACCCCCCCACCCCCACUAAAUUUGACUGGCUUUAA